AGCGCACCCCUAUCCUUAUUUGCCAGCGCAUAAUGGCGGGAACUAUAAGGAGACUGCCGGUCAUAAACCGGAGGAAGGCGGGGACGACGUCAAGUCAUCAUGGCCCUUAUGGGUAGGGCUACACACGUGAUACAAUGGGUGGUACAGAGGGUCGCCAAAGCGCGAGCUGGAGCCAAACCCUUAAAACCAUUCUUAGUCCGGAUUGGAGUCUGCAACUCGACUCCAUGAAGUCGGAAUCGCUAGUAAUCGCGAAUCAGAAUGUCGCGGUGAAUACGUUCUCGGGCCUUGUACACACCGCCCGUCACGUCAUGGAAGUGGGUUGCACCAGAAGUGGCUUGUUUAACCUUCGGGAAAACGGUCACCACGGUGUGAUUCACCACUGGGACGAAGUCGUAACAAGGUAGCCCUAGGGGAACCUGGGGCUGGAUCA
rnacentral:rRNA from 1 species